GUCGUCAGCUCGUGUCGUGAGAUGUUGGGUUAAGUCCCGCAACGAGCGCAACCCUUGUCAUUAGUUGCUACAUUUGGUUGGGCACUCUAAUGAGACUGCCGGUGACAAGCCGGAGGAAGGUGGGGAUGACGUCAAGUCCUCAUGGCCCUUAUAGGUGGGGCUACACACGUCAUACAAUGGCUGGUACAAAGGGUUGCCAACCCGCGAGGGGGAGCUAAUCCCACAAAGCCAGUCGUAGUCCGGAUCGUAGUCUGCAACUCGACUACGUGAAGUCGGAAUCGCUAGUAAUCGUGGAUCAGAAUGUCACGGUGAAUACGUUCCCGGGUCUU
rnacentral:rRNA from 1 species